UACGUAGGGUGCAAGCGUUAAUCGGAAUUACUGGGCGUAAAGGGCUCGUAGGCGGCCAACUAAGUCGGAUGUGAAAUCCCCAGGCUUAACCUGGGAACUGCAUCCGAUACUGGAUGGCUUGAAUCCGGGAGAGGGAUGCAGAAUUCCAGGUGUAGCGGUGAAAUGCGUAGAUAUCUGGAGGAAUACCGGUGGCGAAGGCGGCAUCCUGGACCGGCAUUGACGCUGAUGAGCGAAAGCUAGGGGAGCAAACGGG
rnacentral:rRNA from 1 species